AUACGUUUGGCUUUCCCUCUCCUUUGCCUCUGCACUGUGCCCAUCACAGGCAGUUGCUCUGCUCUGUGACAGCUCCCUAGCUAACACAAUUAAGCAGGGCAUUGUAAAUUAAGUAUAGCCUGGCAUCAGCACUGGUAUAUGUAACAGACUACAAAUUUCACUGCCUACAUCAGGAAAUGUUUGCCGGCCUAAAUCCUACAAGGUCUGUUAGUUUUUGCAGAGGGUCCCCACAGACCACACUGUAGGAGUAAGAUGACGCCGUGAGCUGCUUCCCACUGGACUGCAGCUGGAGCAUCCCCUAAGAAGAGGUCGACCAGGAGCAAGGUUCUUUAUGGUAGCCACAAACAAUGAAGGUCCCUAGGGAAUAACUCUGGUGUUCAUUUUGCAAGACACACUCCACUGAGGUCCACUGUCCAGUGUGCAAGAGCUGGGGGGCUCUCUGCCUAUGGCAAAACACCACAGCUUCAGAAACUGAACUACAGCUGAGCUCUGCACCACAGCGUUUUCAGGCCCUCCUGCCCAGCAGCUCUCCAGCCUUUCCCACUUUGGAUGGGAAGUAUCAAAUGGAGCAUGCAGAAUAAAGAAGAUGGUCUUUGCUGUGCAUCUGAUCUCCAGAUGGGACCUUUCAGUCUGUUUCCUGGAAAUCCCUUCAGGAAAUGAGGGCUGAAAGGAGUGGGGAAGCACCCAUACCAGGGCUAAAAGUGAGGCAUGGAGAAGACAAAAUUGUCUGAGACAUGGAGUAGUUUCAUAGAAACACAGAAUCAUAAAACCAUAGAAACAUUAAGGUCGGAAAAGACCACUAGGAUCACGUAGUCCAACCAUCAACUCACCACCAUCAUGCCCUCUAACCAUGUCCCUUAGUGCCAUAUCCACAUGGUUCUUGAACACCGUCUCCCUGGGCAACCUGUUCCAAUGCCCCACCACUCUUUCUGAGAAGAAAUUUUUCCUCAUAUCCAACCUGAACCUCCCCUGGAGCAACUUCAGGCCAUUAUCUCUCAUCCUGUUGCUAGUUACUGUGGUACUGUGUACUUCUGACACCAUUCAACCUACAACUACUUCAUACUCCUCUUCAGCUGCCUCUAGAUUUCCAGGUUAGGAAAACUACAUUCCAGCAUUACUAGUAGUAGCAUUUCAUCCUCAUUAGUGUUAGUUGUCAUCUUCAGCCUCCAUUUAAAUGUGUUUGCUCUGAGAUCUUCACACACAGUCUUACCUGUGCCUCUGCUUUUCGGCACUGCUCUAUGCAAUAGAAAGCAGACUAGGAUAAAGUUAUCAUUUACCUCACAAAAAAUUUAUGCUUUCUGAGCUACUUCAGAGAAUUUGGAUAUUGAUUAGCUGGGAGUAUGCUCCCAGUAAGCUGCAAAGCUUGGGGAUCUGCUAAUGGAAUAUCAAUAUCGCAAAGCUUGCAGGCUGAAAAAUCAGGAUAUGCACCUAAAGAAUCCUGUGAGAUUGUUACACUUGCUUUUGAUAUCUCAUUAUAUAUUGGUCAUCUGGCUUACUCUUAUUUUUAACUCUUUCACUACCCCUUUUCUAAGGUGGGAAAUUUUCAGUAAAAUCUAUCAGAAGCAGAGCAGAUAUGUUCUGUGAUUCCUGAAAGAGGGCUGGGGUGAUCCCCCUCUUUGGAGGCUGCCUCUUAAUGCUGCUGCAACCAGCCUGUUUCGUAGUCCCUCUGCCUCCACUCCUGCUAAGCACCAUCUUCUUCUACCACUAGCACUAGCAAGACAGGUUAACAGCAGAGAGUGCAAUGGGCUGUAAGUUUUGACAAGAUAACUGGGCUCUUCUUCCUUUUGCCACAGUGACCUCCAAGAGCUGAAGGGGAAUGUCUGGAUCUUCCACUUUAACACCAUGUCCAACAUCCUCCUGUCCUCUGUAGUACUUCAAGAGAUGGUAGUAUGCUCAAAUGAUGGUGACCGACUGCAGCAUUUAGUGGCUCAAGUACUGCAUCAAAGAAGAUUUUGGUUUGAAUUCUUCAGCCACUGAGAAUUUGUGUGCAUACUGCAAUGAAGUAAGUUUUUUUCCAGAGUCAUUACCCUUGUAAAAGCGUGCCAUUUGGCAACCUUGAUGCACAGAGAGGUUUUACAGCUAGUGUUCAGUUUCAGUGUACCAUCUCUUGUGUGAAGACAUUGAAUGACCUCCAUGUGAUGACUCAGGGCCAAACUGAUAGCAAGGGUUUGAAUACUGAAUAAUGUGAAAAACAGUAGACGAUGGCUUGGAUCAAAGAAGACUUCCCACUCCUGUUUUUGGAGGGCUGCUAGAUGAAGUAGCGGAGCAGAUGUUCACAAAGGUUUAGCCCAGAUCCCCAGACCUUAAGAAGUUCUCUCAAGAAAUGUGCAUCAUUUCAGUUUCUUCUGGGGAGAAUUACAGAAAAAGAGGACCAUACAAAUUCCUUUUAUUUGUCCAGUAACCCAGAUGCAGCUGUUUCUUGAGAACAUUACAAUGUUGGAGAGGGGGAAGUUACCCCUGCUGUUUACAUUCAUCUCUAUUCAAGGGGUAGCAAAACCAAGAAUUUUAACAAACAGUCAGCAACUUGGGAGGUUCUGGAGCCUGCCACCACCAAGCAAAAAGUGGAGAUCUUCUUGCACAUUUAAUGACUUGAUUACUAAACUCAGACUGUUUACCGUAAAAAAGCAUCAGUGUAGUCUGGUAGGUAAUUAAUCUACUGAUAAGCCUAUCUACCUGCAGCUCACCUCCUUUCUCUACUUACUCUCUUAUUUCUGGCUCUACUCCAUUAACUGUGCACACAUUUAAAGCAUUUAUGCUUUUUACUCUCCAUAGCUGGUUUCAGUCAGUAGCAGGUCAUAGUCCUUGCUUCCUACUUUCUCAGAGUAGGCUUGUGAAUAUGAAUGUCUUGUUGGCUUGGUUUGAAUCUGUGUUCUCUUCCCUGGUAUGGAACAGUUCUGCCUCUGAGCUGAGAGGAUAAAGUGCUUGUUACUACAGCCCUGCCUUACAUAAGUAUUUGGUUUUAAGUCUAAUUAUUUUACAAUUCUUCUUAGCUGGCAAUGAACUGCUGUGAUAACAGGGCCUGUGGAACUACCAAUAAGAUCAUCUAAACAUGCCUCUUCAAGCAGAUUUUAAUCUCCUUUUAUCCUGAUGGUAAACUCCCUGAUAUUUGGGGUUUCCUUUUACUUGGACCAAAUGUUUGCCACACCAAAAUAUUCUGGAGGCAUCUGACCCUGAGCAGGGCAGGAGGCCAUACCUGAAUGAGAUCACACAAAAUCUCCCACAUCACCUGCAUCAGGGUGAUCAUGUUCACCUGGUUCUGAGCAUCCCCAUGCACCUCUGUUCACUCUCCUUACACCUCUCCAUCUUCUGGAAGGAAAACAGCCAAAGGCCUGAAAUUGGCCCAACAAGGAAGGAGUCUGUGUGCAGUUGUAACAUUUUCCAUUACAAAGAAGAGAGGGAGCACAGAAGUCAUUCCUGACAAAGUGCAGAAGUUCAUGAAUGCCAGAUUAACAGAUAUAAACCUGUAAUGCAUCAGGUUAUCAGAUUUGUCUCUAGAUGCUCAUCCCCCUGCCCUGGUAUCAGCUUCUGUAAAUUACCUGGCAACUUCUGAAGGCAUUAGUGCCUUUCUCUGUUGCGUCUGUAAUAAUAUUAAAUCUGAAAUGACUUUCUUAAAGUUUUAAAAAUAUCCUAGUUCCUGUUUCAAAUCUGGCUGAAGUUAAUAGGAAUGGGCUUAAGUGAUUUCAGUCAAGGUUCAGGAACUUCAAAAAGAGCACUGGAACAGGCUGCCCAGGGGGGCUGUGGAGUCUCCCUCUCUGGAGAUAGUCAAAACCCGCCUGGACUCUUUUCUGUGUGACCUACGUAAGGAACCUGCUUUGCAGGGGGUUGGACUGGAUGAUCUCCAGAUUUCCCUUCCAACCCCUACAAUUCUGCAAUCCUGUGAAAAACUUGCUAGAAAUUAUUUGGAAUUACAUACAUUUAUUAAAUUAUUAUGUGGUUGGCAGCUAUAGCAGGUGAGGGCCCCCCUCAACAAAUGGCCAGUGUGAAACAGCAGCUCCUGACCUCUCUGCUGCCCCAUGGGGAAGCCAUCCUCAGAAACGACCACUGUGGUGUGGUUACAUCUUGGACACAACAGCCACUUCAGCUCCUCCAUUACGAGAUGUGAGACCAGUUAUGAGAUCCACAGACCACAGGUGAGCAUUUCUAUUGUGCCCACUGUAGAAAAGCUCCUUUCUCCACUCCAGCUGCUGUUCACCAUCAUGUACAUCUGCAGACUCUUCAGCAGUGCUUCAACAGAUGUCUUAAACAACAUCCUCACAUCCCCAGCCUCCUGCUCAGCUGAUGUGACUGAGAUGAACAUUUUUUAGGACCAAGUGUGCUGUGGGCUCAUGCCUCCCAAGAAAUUAUUGCUUUGCUAGAGGAUCCCAGCAGACAAUCGGCUUGCUCCUGGGAUGGACACAAAUGGACAAAUGGCAAUGAUGGUGCCUCUGCCCUCAGGAAACUCACUGUCAGGAGUUUAAACCAGCACUACUUAAUAUAUUUUUAGCCAUGCCUCCUGUUGGGUAAUUUUACAAUUAUGAUUUCAUGAUUAGGAAGGGAGUGCAUAGCUUUCUGCUUUGCCAGGCUACUCUUUCUCAUCACACCUCCAGAAUAGGGAUCUACAGCUUCUGCCUGGGACACAAGGAGAAUAACAAGAAAGCAAACCACCUAGGAAAAAGUGGAAGGAGAUAGAAGAUAUCUAUACUCCGAGGAACAUUUAUUAGCAAAAAAAAAAAAAAAAAGAAGAAGAAGAAGAAGAAAAAGAAGAAGAAGUUACUAGAGCUAAAGAUCGCAGGAUUUUAUGGGAGCUCUGACAAAACUCUAUGGAUUUUGGAGCCUUUACUAGAGCAGAAGUGCUUAAGAACUUUAAUAACUUUUAAUAACAGCUUUUAAAUAGUAGAGUAUUCAGGUUAGUCUCUGCUCAUUUCUACUUGCUGCCAAACUGAGAAGUAACCUUACAGUGGGAGAUCUCUGCAGAUUUCUAAAGUAGAAGCUCCACACAGAAGCUUCUUAACAUUGCUCAUGUAAUGUUUUCCAGCCAGCCCUCAUCUCACAGCUCAUUGUUGGUGACAACAUCUUUACUUCAAAACAUCCUACACAUCUCUCUAGUUCUUGAAUUUAUGAUGUGCUGAAGUGGUUUUUGUACUGUUAUUUUUGGAAAUGUGGGGUUGGGGAAAAAUAAAUUGCACAUUAAAG
ensembl:lncRNA